UGGCAGCAUUCAAUGAGCUUCUGGGAGAUCAGACAAUGCUCUCAUCUGUGGUGCGGUUCCUCUCAAUGUUUGGUAUGGCAGAUGUACGGGAAACUGUUGACCGCUUGAUGAAAGAAACCAUGUCAAAUGAACUGGCAAGAAUGUACAAUAUGAAGUGGCUGAAGGGGAAGAAAAAGUUUGUGGGCCUCUAGAUACUGAUAGUAUUGUAUAAAUGUGUCCAAAGGAACUUGCCGACAAAGGCUGCAACGAGGAAGGAUGUUGAAAUAGAGGUUUCAAAGUGGCUGGCUAGGGCGCGGGACCGCGAUGGGGGAAGGUAAGCAAGAAACAAGGUGUCAGAGACCUUACCUGAAGAAAAUGAAUGAAGUGACUAGACAUGUUUUUAAUUUAAAAAUGCAAAUUUAUAGAGGAUAUUUGUUUGUUUGUGUGUAAGAUGAAAUUUUGUAUCAUCAAGAGAGCUUUAAAAACAGUAUUCUCAUGAGUGGCUAAGCGCUCGUGAGAACACUGUUUUUUAAAGUUCCUUCAAUGAUAUAAAAUUACAUCUUACACAACAAACAAUAAAGUGUCUUUUUAUUUUAUGCUAAUGAAAUUUCCUCAAUAUUAACGUUAAUAUUAAAUCUGUUUUCACCACUGUCAACAUCAAUUUUAGUUGAAUUUAAGUCCAAUUUCUCAUAAAUACAGGAAGUCUUGGGCUGAAAAAUAAGUUUGACAAUCAACGUUGAAUAGCCAUGAUACUAUUUAUUGAAUUCAAAAAAUUUGAAUGAUGAUAAAAUCUUUAAAAAGUAAGUCUCGUCAUAGAAAAGUUUGAAAUUUUAAUCAUUUCACUGUGAA